ensembl:misc_RNA
CUGAAAAACCAGGAGACUGAUGUCCUCGAGCCACAGGACAGGUACAGUACAAGGCAGCAGCAGCACAAACUUCACCCACAUUGCCCUGGCAUGGUGUCUCCAUUCUCACCCAGAGCAACCAUCUCUAAGCCUGAGACAAUAUAGCAGUCUACAUGCCCAUUCAAUCCAUGGCCUCU